rnacentral:rRNA from 1 species
UAAGGAAUAUUGGUCAAUGGAGGCAACUCUGAACCAGCCGUGCCGCGUGCAGGAAGACGGCCCUCUGGGUUGUAAACUGCUUUUAUACGGGAAUAAACCUGCUUACGUGUAAGUAGCUGAAUGUACCGAAGGAAUAAGGAUCGGCUAACUCCGUGCCAGCAGCCGCGGUAAUGCGGAGGAUCCAAGCGUUAUCCGGAUUUAUUGGGUUUAAAGGGUGCGUAGGCGGCUUAUUAAGUCAGGGGUGAAAGACGGUGGCUCAACCAUCGCAGUGCCCUUGAUACUGUUGAGCUUGAAUGAACUAGAGGUAGGCGGAAUGUGACAAGUAGCGGUGAAAUGCAUAGAUAUGUCACAGAACACCGAUUGCGAAGGCACCUUACUAUGGUUUUAUUGACGCUGAGGCACGAAAGCGUGGGGAUCAAACA